rnacentral:lncRNA from 1 species
UUCCUAAGUCUCUCAUGCAAAGAUGACUGCAAUUGCAACCAUGAUUGCCAUGACAACUCCAAACAGAGAUGAAACAACAGAGUGAGCAUCAGAAGAAGGUGGUGGAGAAGGAGCAGGUGCACCUUCGGCUAGAACAGUGAUGACCAACUUCAUUUGACGAGCCGAACAGUGAUCAGCAACUCCACAAACAUACCACUUUCUUCCUUCAGUUUUUAGUUGAAUGAUAUCCUUUCCGGUAGAAAGUGCUUCGUUUUUUGGUGGAAAAGUGCAGCUCUGGAAGAGUGUGCCAUUCACUUUAAAAACAUUGUGCCUUGAAGGGUCAUAGUUGAAAACUAAAAAAGAGAUAAAAUAAAAUUAGAUCAUGUUUGAUAAAUACAAAAGUUAAUUAUAACUAUGAGAUACACUAAUUAGUUAAGCAAUUGACUAUGAACUAAAUAAACUUGAAACCAAAUGGACAUUUAUUUUUUCCUUUUACAUACCUAGGUUGUCUCCAACACGAAAAACUUUGUCUUGAGCCCAUUGAGUGUAAUCAAAAUCAACGGUCCAACCCUUGUCAUCACCAACAAUAUAAUCAGUUGCAGCAAUUGCAACUGAUGAAAGUAAAACCAUGGAAAUGGAAAGGAUCAAAACUACACGAGAAGAAGCCAUUUGAUCAAAAUUUGAGUUUGGAAAAUAUUUCUCUCUAAUUGUAGAAAUUAACUUAAAAAAAUGAGUGUCAAGAUUUUUUUUUCUCCCUAGAAUAUAAAAUCUCAAUCAAAAGAAUAGCUAGCUAGCAAAUGCUGCGCAAAUAUUUGUUUUGAUUUUGAUGAAUUGUGCAAUUCUUAUAUAGAUGUGUGUAUAUAGAUUUUAUCGACACGACAAUAAUAGAGUAUAUGUAUGCUAUUAUAUUCGGCUACCGGAUUUGGUCGGCUUUUACUAAGACGAGGUUGAAUUUCCACAACUAAUUAUAUUAUUACUUGAACAAAAAAAAAAAUAUUCUUUUGUUUUUAUUUAACCACGUGGACUAUCUGUGAGUCUGCAAAAAAAAUUAUUUGAAGCGAUUUGGCAAAUAAACAAAUAUGUAAUUUUAGAGAGUGGAACGUGUCAAAGGGAAAUAGAAAAAGUAUAGUUCCUCCUCCGGCCUUCAUUAUAAUUGAGUUGUCUCCAUAUACAAAUACUUGAGGAGGCUCGAAUAUCAAGUACUCAAGCUUAAUUAGUAGUUUUGAUUUUAUAGAAAAUAAAAAAUUGUUUAAGAUCUUGAUUUUCCAAUCUCGAUUAGAAGGCCACAUAUCUAAACAAAGACAUCAGGUCUCAAAAAAUUUGGUCGAAAAAUGCCUUAGAAAAAUUAAUUUGGAUAUAAUAUAUAAUAUUGUAAAUAAAUUAUUGAUAUUUGUAUAGCUUAAUUGGUACUGAAAAGGCCUAAAAUACCCUUGGUCAUGCCUUAGAAAAAUUUAUUUUUUCUAAUGUUUUUAUAAGUAUUUUGUUAAAAGAAAUAUUUUAAAAGGUCUUAUUAAAUUUUUUGCUUUGGACCUCUUAAAAUAUUUGGACUGGUCCUACUAUCACACUCUUCAAAGUAAAUAGAUAACUAUAUAUUUCAAGCUGAGCUUGGUAACACAAGUUUAUGACGUAAAUAGGGACAUUAAGAUGUUAAAAGGUUUUUGACGUGUGAAGAAGAAAAAAGAAGAUAAUUAUAUUUCAAAAGAGAAAAAGGGAUAUAUAUAUAUAUAUAUAUAUAUAUAUAUAUAUAUAUAUAUAUAUAUAUAUAUAUAUAUAUAUAUAUGAAAUGUUAAGGUAUUAUAAAAAAAAUAUUUAUCUUAAAAAUUGUGUAUUUUACAUUUUAAAAUUUAAAAAAAAAUGUUUUUUUUUAACAUAAAUGCUUAAUAUUGCAAAAUUGUACAUCACGACUAUUUCACAAAAUUACAUUGCUUCGACUUGUAUUGUUUAAUUAAUUUAAUUUCUUUCUUAGAUGAUGAGUUUGGUAUCCAAAGUUAACUCUCAGCUUAAUUCCAUGAGACCACGACCACUUCAACUUGGUAUUCAUGAUUUCAUGGCAUGCAAAACUGGUAUCAACUCAUUGACCAUGAUUUCAUGUGACGGUGCGGUGGCUUUUUCUUUUUAAGGCAUACAUAGUCUUUUUUGUCUAUAUCUAGUUAUAAUUGCAGUAUAGGAAACAAAGAAAGAUAUAUAUAACCAUUCCAAAAGCUUAAAUGAAAGGAUUGAAAUAUAACAAAAAAAAACUCGCGAGAUAUAGCAAGGCUCUUUUUUUAAUAUUAACUUUGUCUUUUCUUUCCAUUUUUAAGAGAAAUUUAGGUCAACAAAAGUGAAUGUAUUUGGACUGAAUUUUUAAAUAGAUACAUCAACUUUUGUUGACCCAAAAUUCUCUUAUAAAUAGGACCGGAGCUAAUCCUAAUAAAAUCCCAGGGAUGGAACUCAAUUACUUUUUCUUAUUUUUAUUUUAAAAGAGGCUUUACUAAAAUACAUGUGAAAUAACCUCUUAUUGAUGAGUUCUUGAUAUGUGGAUGAAAUUAUCAUUCAACAAGCUAUACGUACAAGGAGAGUGCAUAAUAUACAGCAAAGAGGCAUGCACAGAAAGCGUGUGAGGCCUACAUUUGAUGCUAGAAAAAACUUGCUUCCUCUGUUGUAGCCAAGGGAAUGUUUUGGCCUUUUCAAUGUAGUUUGUUGACUUUUCAAUGCUGCUAGUCAGUCAGGUGAAUACAUGUUUGGAUUCACGGUACCUUAAUGUAAUUUUAUACUAUAAUCAGGGCCGUCCACUUGAAAUAGGAGGUUAGGCUCUCUUUUUAAAAUAGGUUCGUUCAUAGUGAAAUAAAACGUAAUUUUUUUUGUGUAGUUAAAUUUUAUUAAAAAAAAAUCAGAAUCAGAAGAAGUUCUAAACAUGAAUGGAAUUAAAAAAAAAAUAAGUGAAAGAGGUGAAAUUUAUCUAACGGUGUCGUUUGGAUUUGUCACUCCUCUGUUGUAGAAAAUGGUAAAACGAAUGGUUUAUGCGAAGAAAAAAAUGAUUAUUGUGAUUCUUUCAAUGAAAUAACUUUUCAAAUUGACUUAAUUAAGUGAUUAUACAAAUUAGGGGUAGUUUGAUAGGAUCCGAUUUAUGUACAAAAACAAGAACUAGAGUCUAGAAAAAAACUCAAACGUGUAUUAAAGAAAGAAAAGGAUAUAACAUAUAUAUUUUUUAUUUAAGUGGGGUGGUUAUUAGAUUUAAUUUUUCGUUAGAGGACCGUAAUAUUUGGAGACCCGGCCUGGUUGAGCACCAUGCUCACCCUCGAGGCCGGGCCUGACUAUAAUAGAAACAUAUUAUUGUGUACCUUUUAAAAGUACAAUAAAUUUCAAGUUAACUUUGCUUGCUCUUGAGUUUCAGAUAGAAAAAUUGUUUUACUUUUGCUUGAGCAACAAAGAGUACUUGCUUAGAGGCUGUCGCAUAUUGGAAAAGAUCACCAAAAUCUUCUAUAGCAACCAGAUAACUCAAAGAUAUCUGAAAUCCAAGAAGCUACUGGUUUGAGAAAGAUGUUGAAGAAGUUUGAUAAGCGGUUCGGCUAUACAUUCACCGACUAUCAUGUCAAGACACACGCAAAUCAUCUUUACUCUCAUGUAAGACAGGUUUGUGAUAAUGUUUCUAACCCUGACUAUAUCAUGUUUAAUGUUACAAUACUAAUGUUACAAAAUAUAAGAUAAUAUUUUUGUAAUAGAUUCCUUUUAUGUAAUCUUUGUUGUGGGAGUCUUGUCUCAUAAUCUUGCAUGCCUUCAUGAUUUACAGAAAUGUCAAGGAAGCUACAUUUCUAUAUAUAACCAACCUUCUUAUGCUCAUCAAGUUAGUUCUUGAUCCAUUAUUUACAUGAUACUUUUAAUCUUUACUAGCUCUCUAAUCAUUCUUGUGUUUGAUCUAAUGCUAAUUUGAGUAUUCCUGCCUUUUAAUGGUUGACACAAAAAAAUUCGACAAAUAAUUGAAUGGUUAACACAAUUAAAUUAUGUGUUAUGGUUAAUUACGUUUAAUGGAUGGUUAAUGAAUAUAUAAAGGUGUCGCAACUCAUUUAUCAUCAAUUGCACGUAAUUAACUACAAUUUUGAGCACUAUUAACCAUAAUUGUAAUUUAGCUUAAUUUUUUUUUACUUUUGGUUCACUCAUGAGACAAACCUAAGGUAUUCUUCCAACACUUGAUGAGGAUCUCCUUAUGUCUUUUACUUGAAGGAUCAAAUUCUUGAAUUUCCUUCGGUUUUUGGGGAGACAUGCAUGCUUUUAUUUUGCUACAAGAGGAGAUAUCACCAUCUCCAUCUAAAGAAAACAUUGUUGAUGAAAUAUAUCAUUUCAUGUCACUUCUUUUGAACUUGGCAAGCACAUUUUUGUAUAUGGUCGCUACUUACAUCAUUGUACCUAUGACCGGAAACUACUCAUUGAACCUUGGAGCUGCUGCAAGUGUUUGUGGUGUUGUCGUCGGAUCAAUGGCUAUUGCACAAGUUUUUGCUUCUGUUUAUUUCAGUAUGUGGUCGAACCGAUCGUGUCUAAGACUUAUCAUAUUCAGUGUUAUUGUUCAUCUAAUUGUAAACAUCAAGUAUGCAAUGGCCUAUCAUCUCAACUCAGUAGUAGUUCUUCUUAUGGGACGCCUUUUCUGCGAGUAAGUAAAAUACACAUAAUACUCUCAAGUAUCAUACUUUCAAUAAAAAUUUCAUGACAUGACUAUGAUGUUUUUAUUUUUAUCUUCUUAGUAAAACAAAUAUGGUAUGUACGCACGUAUUCAGAAAUGUGUUUAUGAAUUACUUUGCAACAAAUUACAUGUUUGAACUUUACAAUUAGGUUACAGUUAGCAUGACAUUGUGGAAGAGAUACAACACAUGUUCAUGAAGGUGAGAAAAAACACAAGACGGAGGGUUGAAUUGUGUUGGCUUUUUCUUCUUUUUCUCCUAACUGAAAACACAGAUCAGAAGCGGAUAGAGUUAUACUUUUGAAUAGAUGUUCAGAACUAAUUGUAGUGGAUAAAAACAGAGCGAGAGAAGAAAGACACAAGCAAUUUAUACAGGUUCCUUCCACAAACCGGAAGUCAGUCAUGUCCCUCUUGCACUUCCAAGGAGAGUUCACUAUGUAAUAUCUGAUUACAAUUGCUCACUACUAAACUUAGUAAGAGACUUCAAAUGCUCAAGCACAACUGCAAGAGACUUCCUAUGCUCCUGAACACAAUCAAGAGACUUCUAUUGCUCAAGCACAAUUGCAAGAGACUUCUCAAUUCAAACAGAAUUAUAAGAAAAAUGUUUGAGGUUGAACACUUAUAUACAAUCAGUGGUGUUCACAAUACAAAUCAGAUACAGACUCUAAAGACACUAGAAUUUCUAAGAUAUAAGCUUUGAUAAGAAAUUCUAAGUGAACUUUGAAUGCAGAACAAUUUCAGUAGAGUUUCAGCUCAGUAGAGUUGCAGCCAUUAAAACUCUUUCGGAGAGUUUGCCGUCCAUUUGGGUCCCACAAGAUCCGAUAGAUUAGUCUUAGUUGCGUAUGGAGGAUAUCUGGUUUAUGCAAAAAAAAAAAAAAAAAAAAAAAGAGAUUGUUAAUAAAAGAAAGCUAAUAAAAGAAAACACAUUGCUCAUAUUAUAACACGUAAUUUUUGGUGGUGAUAUAACCCGUCAUUUGUUAAAUAAAUUAUUAAUAUAUACCUAAAAUAUGAAUUUAAAUAGGGUCUCGCGAAUGAACAGUGAGAUUGUACCCUUCAGGUUAAUCCGUCAUUGGAUCAGAUAUCGAAUUUAAAAAUAAAAACUACUUAGAAUAUAAAUAAAAUAAAUCUUAGUUAUCUUUAUUGGAAAAAUUAUCAAAAAUGAAUGGUCAGAAUGAAAAUAAUGAGAACAUGUAGGCAAACAAAAUUAUUUCCUUAUAAAUAUAUGCAAACAAAAUUAUUUCCUUGUAAAUAUAUGAAAUUGAUUAAAAUAAAUAACUUAAUCAAAUAAUCAUCUAGAAUUUCCUCUACCAAUUUAAUAUUUACAAAAUGAAUGAAUUACCAAUUAAAUUUGACAAAAUCUAUGCUAAUGAAAUAUAAUUUAAAAUGAAAUUUAAUGAAUGAGAAACGAAUAAAUAGUUUGAAAAAAAGGAUAAAACUCGUGUGAAUUUCAUUAUAUGUUUUUCAUAUGAUUCUUAGGUAAAAAUACAUUUUUAAUGAGUAGUUUAUUUCGGAACCAUACGAAAAACAUCUAAGAAAAUGCACCAAGUUUUUUGAUAGAAUUAAAUAAGGAUAAAACUUAGGUGCAUUUUCUUAAAUACUUUUCGUGUGGUACUUUAUAUAAAAUACUCACAACUACCUAUGAUUUUUCCAAUCCACAAUUUUUUCAACAUUUGUUAUAACCACAAAAAAUGAAUUUUAAUUAUGUGAGGAACCAUACGAAAAACAUGUAAGGAAAAUGGACCGAAGUUUUGUCCUUAUAAUUAAGGAUAUUUUUUGAAUGACAAAUAUCAACAAUUAGUUGUUAAAAAAGGACACAAAGUAUAUAAAUGAAUAAAAAAAAAUCAAAUGAAUAUAAUAUAAUAGUAGACUUAUGAAGGGGAAAAAUAAUAGUAAUAGUAGCAGUAAAUAGGGAUGCAAAAAAAAUAUAUAUGCAUGAUAUUCAUAGAUAAAAUCGACCAUUGACACACAGUGAAUAGCUUAACAUGUACACAGAGAUAAAAUAAAUUAAUAUUUCAAGUAAUUUAAGUUAAUGGAUACAUAUGUAGAAGUAUUGGUAUCUCUAGACACAAUUUAUAAUGAUAAUUAAGACGUGUAAUUGUGUAGAGAUAUUUAUACUAUAUAAAACAUUGGUUUUUCACUUAAAAAAUUGUUAAUGUAUUAGUAUAGUACAUGUCCAUAAUAAUCAAAUUAUACAUUUAAAUAAUAUUUUUAGAAAAUAUAAAAAAUAAACUUAUUGGAUCCAAUUAUUUUGUAGUUAAAUUUAAAUCUAAAUAUGUUGCUAAAAAUUAAAAUGAUAAACAAUUAAACCCUAUUUAAAAAUUAGAAUACAAAGAAACUCUUUUGAAAUUUGGACGUGACUGAAAUUUGGUGCAUUUUGUUGAGAUAUUAAUUUUUGAUAGAUAAAAAGAAUAAGUUAAUUUUACAAAAUUAAAAAAUUACAUAAAUUAACAUGGAAGUGGUCACGUGCAUGAAAAAAUAAAAUAUAAUUUUUAAACAUUUCAAUAAAAUAUUUAGAUGUCACAUUGUGACAACUAGGGUACCCAUGGAAGAAUGGUGGGUAAUUUACCCCAACCAAUACACAUUAGCCACAUAAGCACAUUUUUAAGUGGUAUCCAUGAACUAUCUUGACCCCACCAACAAAUUGCUCAUUUUCAUUGGUUGGUGGGUAAAUUACCCAUCAUUCUUCAAAGGUAAUCUAGAAAAAACCUAAAACAUUUAGAUGUCACAUGUAUAAUAUAACAUAAAGCUUAACCGAAAAUUGAUCAAUUGAUGAUUCGGUUAAGCUUUAUGCAUUCGAUUAAUAGAAAAUAAUUUCUUUGACCACUUCAGUUUGCUUCAUCAGAAAAUUAGAUAAUAUAUGAGGUAAGACUCCAGUUUCAAUGAAUGAAAUUCAAAAUUAUAUACCUACACUACGGGGAGAUUAUCAUCACUACUAAAUCAUAUGACAUGUUUGCGUACGAAAUUUGACGAAUGCACAUGUUUUUUUUAUAUAUGUACAUGAAGUAAAAAUAACAAUAAAAAACUCACAAAAUUAUGAGGUUUUAGUUUCGAAUUUGAAUGAAAAGAUCCAAUCUAACAAUAUCGUCGUUUGUCAGGUUGAAUUGGGUCUUACGAACAAUAUGAUUGUGGAUCUCAAUUGAGUCGCUUUCUCUUGGGUCUUAUACAACAAUAUGGAUUAAGUUGAACUAAGAAGCAAGCAAACAUUUUGUAUAAUAAAUUAUUAAUGAAAGUUAGAGUUACAAUCUGAUUUGAAAGAACUCAUGCACAAACCAAAACAUAACAGGAUAUAAAAUUGAGGACCAAAUUACAAUGACAUUAACAUAAAUAACCAUAUAAUUCAUAAUUCAAAAAAUUCAAAUAAAUAUGGCAAUGUAUCUUGCCAAAAGAUUAACACAAAUACUUGUAUUAAUAACAAUAUAAAGCUUCCUAAGUCUCUCAUGCAAAGAUGACUGCAAUUGCAACCAUGAUUGCCAUGACAACUCCAAACAGAGAUGAAACAACAGAGUGAGCAUCAGAAGAAGGUGGUGGAGAAGGAGCAGGUGCACCUUCGGCUAGAACAGUGAUGACCAACUUCAUUUGACGAGCCGAACAGUGAUCAGCAACUCCACAAACAUACCACUUUCUUCCUUCUGUUUUUAGUUGAAUGAUAUCCUUUCCUGUAGAAAGUGCUUCAUUUUUUGGUGGAAAAGUGCAGCUUUGAAAGAGUGUGCCAUUUACUUUGAAAACAUUGUGCCUUGCCGGAUCAUAGUUGAAAACUAAAAAGAAGAAGAUGAAACAAAAUUAGUUCAUAUUAGAUUAAUACAUGUUCAUCUAAACAAAAGUUAAUUAUAAUCAUAAUAUGCACUAACUAGUUAUGCAGUUGAUUAUAAACUAAAUAAACUUGAAACCAAAUGAAAAUUUGUUUUUUCCCUUUUACAUACCUAAGUUGUCUCCAACACGGAAAACUUUGUCUUGAGCCCAUUGAGUGUAAUCAAAAUCAACGGUCCAACCCUUGUCAUCACCAACAAUGUGAUCAGUUGCAAUUGCAACUGAUGAAAGUAAAACCAUGGAAAUGGAAAGGAUCAAAACUACACGAGAAGAAGCCAUUUGAUCAAAAUUUGAUUUUGGAAAAUAUUUCUCUCUAAAUGUAGAAAUUAACUUUAAAAAAAUGAGUGUCAAAAUUUUAUUUCCUAGAAUAAAAUCUCAAUCAAAGGAAUAGCAAGUUAGCAAAUGUAAUUGUUUUGAUUUGAUUUGAUGAAUUGUGCAUAUCAACUUAGGCUAUAUAUAGUUGUCAUGUGUGGGUGUAUUGAUUUUAUCGUCACAACAAUAAUAGAAUAUUUGUUUGCUAUUAUAAACGGCUACCGGAUUUGGUCGGCUUUUUACUAAGACGAGGUUGAAUUUCCACAACUUAUUAUUUUUUUUUUUACCUUUUUGGAAUACACUUAUAUUAUUUUAUAUUAAUGUAAAGAAACUUUCUAUCACUUGAACAAAAAGAAAGUUUUCUUUUGUUUUUAUUUAACCACGUGGACAUACUUGUUUUUAUUUGGCAGUAAACAAGUAUGCAAUAUAGUGUGGACCGUGUCAAAGGGAAAUAGAAACAGUAUAUAUAGUUCCUCUUCCGGGCUUCGUUAUAAUUGAGUUGUCUCCAUGCAGAAAGUUUACACAUAAAUAAUGUUUGUUUCUUACGAGUUUCUUUAUUUGGAAAAUUAGAGAUGUAAUCGAGUAUUGACACUUGGAGUACAAAUACUUGAGGAGUCUCGAAUAUAUCAAGUUCUCAAGCUUAAAUUAGAGAUGUAAUCGAGUAUUGACCUUGUUUUGGCUCCCUAAGUGAAUUUUCUUGCCUUGCUUUCCUUAAACACUCUGACUUAUCUCUUUCCUUGCUCGCAUAUAUGCUCACUCGUUAAUUGAUACCCCAAGUCAUCUUUGAUCUUUUAAACCUACAAAUGUAAUGGAAAUAGGUCAUGGUAGCUACAAUGCUACUCAAAACCUAAUUAUCUAAUAUUUAUAACGAACUAGAGGAAUUUCAUGAAAUUUCUUUCAAACCAAAUUUAAUGGAGUUUAGAAAAUUUGGCACGUAUCAAUUACCUUAGAAGUUAUGAUGUUUAAUGUUUGUAUAACUAAGGAGUAAGUGUAAAAGAUAUAUUAAAGAUGGGAGCACAAGAUCUACUAUAAUCGCAACAUUUCAAAUAGAUUAACCAACUCUUAAGCAACGCAUUGAGUUAGAAUACCAAUCAAAGAAGCGGUAUUGUAUCCUUCUAUAGCUCCUUAAAAACACAUCUCCCUCUCUCAUACUAAGCAAUGUGGAAUUUUUUGUUUGGUAUACUUUUUAAAGGAUAAAAGAAAGAAAAAAAUAGGACAUAUAUACUCAUAUCUUGUUUGCUACACUUGUAUUUUAUUAUUUGAAUUCAUUUUUAUUUAUUUGUUAUAGACGAUAUUUUUAUUGAAAGUCGAGGGCAAAUAUUGGAAAGAGAAAAAGUCAUCCUAAAAAAAAUCAAAACAUGCUAUUUUCUUUAAACAGUAUAGAUAUAGAUAAAUUAAAACUAUAUAUACAUUAGUGGCUUGUAACAAAGUCUUCCCUAAAAAAAAUGUAAAAACUCAACAAACAAUUAUUUUUUUAACGACAACAAUAAUAUAACAAAUGUACCAAAAUUCUUAUUUUUUUAGUAACAAUAUAAACAUAACAAUACUCACAAAUCUAUAUAUAUAUAGGCUCCUUCUACUGUACACCCAUAUAUUUGUAUGUAUCAAUACUCCAAACUAAAAUGGUCAAUAGUUUUUUGACAGCAUGGAACAAGUAAGUUUGAUUGGAUUAUAGAAUUAGCACCACCAAACUUGUGAGUUUUACACUUUGGGGCUUUUAUUUUAUGAUAUAAUUAAUUUUACUUUGAUUUAACAUAAAACAAGUUUAAAUUGUUACUUCUUCUUCUUCAUGGCAGUUCUUCUUCUUAAUCUCUUUCAUUGCAACCCUUGCUUGUAUGUGGGAAACUACAAGAACUAAUUUGACAGAUUUUAAUUGAACUUUGCUGUUAUUUUUUAUAGCAAAAAAGGGGAUAGCUAUCAAAAACACUCACCGCACUACAAAAAAGGGGAACAACAAGAAAAACAACACAAAACAAGAUAGAUUGAUAGCUAAUUAGAAGUAAUAGGUAAUUGGAUUGAUAAGAAAGAUGACCUCUUUAGCAAAGGAUUAUGGAUUAUGUUUAUGAAACAACAUUCCAAACAUCAAGUAUAAGAAAAAACAUAAAAUUGUACCAGUAAAAUACAAGAAAAAAAGGUCACGUAUAAGAAAGCCAUGCCAUCAAUUUUUUCAAUUAAAAUUCAGUAAGCAAAAUUAAUGGUGAGAAAGAAACGAAGGAACAGUACAUAGAUUAUGUUUUUGUUCUGUUUCCGGAAAGAAAAAGAGAAGAUUACGUUUGAGAAGAUGAAUGUUGGAGAGAAAAUUGCGAUGACCGUUAAUGAUUUGGUUUUGUUUUGAUUAAAAGAAUUAAUUAAUUAAUUUUCUAAAAUAGUAAUUUGUACAAUUUUUGGGGGUUAAAUUGAAUAGAAAAGUGUACCAAAACUCUUUCCCUCAAGUCAAUCCUUAAUAAUGUUGGCAUUGAUCAUUUAAUUGAAAUGGUUAUUAUUGGUUAAAUAUUUGAGAGUACCAAAACACUCAAUUUUGUUUAAAGUACCAUAAAAAUUGCCAUAUAUAUACCCUAGUCGAAUAACAAAAUUCAUCAAAUCAAAACAAUAACAUUUUCGAAGCAUUUGCUAGCUAGCAAUUCUUUUCAUUGAGAUUCAUUCUAGGAACAUUUUCCCCGACACAUAUUUUACAUUUAAUUUCCAUACUUAGGAGAGAAAUAUAUUUCAAACCUAAAUUUUGAUCAAAUGGGCUUCUCGUGUGUUCUUGAUCCUAGCUAUUUCAAUGGUUUUAUUUUCCUCAGUUGCAAUGGCUACUGACACUACUAAAAAAACAAAAAUUAAUAAGGGAUACUUAGUGAGGGAAAACAUGAAAUUCCUCUCUAAUUCCGUCACUAAAUUUUACGACCAAAGAAUUUGUGAGGAAUUUCAUUUUUUGGUCACUAAUUUCCCUCGCUAAUUUUGUUUUUUCUAGUAGUGUGAUCAUAUUGUGGGUGAUGACAAUGGCUGGACUAUUAACUUCAAUUACACUCAAUGGGCGUAAGACAAAGUUUUUCGUGUUGGUGACAAUCUUGGUAUGUAAAAGGAUAAUACGAUUUUCCAUUUGGUUUAAAGUUUAUUUAGUUCAUACUCGAUUACUAAAUUCAUUAUUGUAUAUCAUAAUUUUAACUUUUAUAGAUGAACUGGUAUUAAUCUAAUACGAACUAAUUACGUUUUAUCUUCUUUAUUUUUAGUUUUCAACUAUGACCCUUCAAGACACAAUGUUUUCAAAGUGAACGGCACAUUCUUUCAGAGAUGCACUUUUCCACCACAAAACGAAGCACUUUCUACCGGAAAGGAUAUUAUUCCCCUAAAGACUGAAGAAACAAAGUGGUAUGUUUGUGGCAUAGCUGAUAACUGUUCUGCUCGUCACAUGAAGUUCAUCAUCACUGUUCUAGCAGAAAGUGCCCCUGCUCCUUCUCUUCCACCUUCUUCUGAUGCUCAUUCUGUUGUUUCAUCUGUGUUUGGAGUUGUCAUGGCAACCAUGGUUGCAAUUGCAGUCAUCUUUGCAUGACUUAGGAAGCUUUAUAUUGUUUUUAAUACAAGAGUUUGUGUUAACCUCUUGGCAAUUUUUUUAAUUAAUGAUGUUUCUUUAUUUUAAUGAUAUUGUAAUUAGAUCUUCAAUUUUAUAUUUCCUUAUGCUUUAACUUGUUCUUGAUUUUUUUUAUUUGAAAUUUUUGCAUCUGUCACAAGAAUUGUACUUCAAAAAGGUCCUUGACAGGUUUGGAAUGUUAAAUUUUAAACUUGUAGCAACACUUAUAUCUCAGCAAUUCAAGUUAGGUGUAAACAAGUAUGCAAUAUUGAGACCUUAUAGCCGUAAUUUCUAAGAUUGUUUAUGAAUCAAGAGAAUGAAAUAAUUCAAGAGAACAACUAUAAACUUAUCAUUAUUCUGAUUGGGAACUUUCACAUUAUAAACUUGGAGGUUUCUAUAUUAAUAUGUAUGAUUUCCCCUUGUGGUGUAAACCAUUACUACCUCUUUUGAACUAUAACUAUCAGUGAAACAAUGUGAAAAAUUCUUUGCGAUGUUUUAGCUUCAAGUUAAGUGUAUCGUAGAGUAUGAUAGUUCUGAAAGCAAAAAACAUUUAAAUUUUUAGUUUUAAUCAAAAUCAAAAUUUCAUAAAAAAAAAAAAAAAACAACACAUUUUCAAACGUUAGUGCAAUAAAAACGUGUCCAUCUUUUCGCUAGUUAUGAAGAGAAUAUGGGAUUUUGUGUUGCCUUUUUUGUUAUUCCAACUAUAUCCUUAAACAAAUUUUUUCUAUAAUAAUGUUAUAUUGUUGUUGUCAUUUAGAAAGAUAAAUAUGGUUUGUUACAUUUGAAAUUCAUAAAUAUUUAUAUUUAUAAUUUUAAUUUAUGUAAAAUAUAUAUAUAUAUAUAUAUAUAUAUAUAUAUAUAUAAAAUAUCGUUUAAAAUUUACAUGCAAAAUUUUCUAUAAAUUAUCGUUGAUAAUCUACACACAUCAAUAAAAAAUUAACAAAAACAAAAAGAAUUUUAUAUUAUAUUAAAAAUUAAUUUAUUAAAACUAGAUUUUUUUUAUUUGAAGUAAGAAAUUAAAAUAUUUAAAAGUAAAGUUAUCAUUAAAAAUUACAAAAAUAUGAACAUUUAUAUAUAUUUUGAACAAAUAACUUGAUCAGGUAAAAUAUGGUUAUUGUGUUCGUUAUCAUGUUCCGCUGUAAAUGGAUUGGGAAGGGCUAAUUUUGCCUAGAUAUGGAAACCAAGCCUUGUAGAGGACUCUUGAUUUGGUUAUAGUUUAAAAAAAGUCUAAUGUUGCUUUGGAUGAGAUUAAAAUAGUCAAAAUAAGUUACCUCUAAAAAAAUUGAGCAUAUUUUGCUCCCUCAAAUAUUUUUCAUCACAAUUUGGUUUGUAAGUCAACUCACACGCAUCCUUCAUAUUUUUAAAUAAAUUUUUAUAGAGAUGUUUAAAAACAUUAUAAAAAUUUCUCCUAACAAAUUUAAAAUUUUAAUUUAACAAAAAUAUUUUUAAGCGUUAAAAGCUUAAAAAUUUAUAUGUAAUUUAUCCCUUGUUAAAAAAUUAAAAUUUUAGAUGACACUUUUAUAAUAUACGAAACAUAAGUUUAUAAUGUAAUUCAAAAUCUCAAAGAAUACACAUGCGUUUACUAAAAGCGGGACCAAAAGUCAUGAUGAAACUAUAUAUAUGUGCUCUUAGGAUACACGUUAACAUGACCCUAACUAUAAUCCCCGUUAUAGUUGCCAAAUCGUGAAAAAAUGAAGAAAAAAAAAGGUUGGGUAAAUUUCUAAAAUAUAAAAAUGAACAAAAAUGGGUUGAGAGAAGGCAAUAAGCAACAACAAUAGACAAUAAAAAAAACAAUGAGAGAAUGAUGUCAAUCAUCAAAUCUACGUUGAGUAAUGGAACGAUUAAAAAAAAAAUUAGAUGGUACCUUGAAGAGAAUAGUGAAAUUCAAAAUCCAAAUAGCAAACACUUGAUGAACACCUCAAAGAUCGUGGGUUUUAAUAGAAGAUCGUGGAGUGGGAAUAUUUUCUCAAGUGUUUGUGGUGUAUUUUCUCAAGUGUUUGAGUGAACCAAAGUCCAGAAUGAGAGCACUUGAUAUGUAUCUUUCUUUCUUUCUCAAGUGUUUGUGAUGUAUUUUCUCUUUUUGAUAUAGGGAAUCGAUUCUCUCACGUGAAAUUCUCUCGUUAUUAAGUUUAACUAUUCAUCGUACUCCAUAAAACAAUUCCACUUGUUAUUAAAAAGCAUGUCUUUAGUUUACCUGAUAAUUUACAUAAUUUAUUUAUUAGAAAGAAGAAAAAAAUUAAUUAAAGUGUUUUUUUCUUCCACCAUUAAUCAAAAUACUUGAAUUUUGUUUUCCCAAAGUACAAAAAGAACAAUAAAAGUGAGAUACAUCCUCGUUCAUUAACAACACAUUGUUUAAAACUCUUUUUGACCUACACUCAUUUAUCUUGAUAUAUAUCCUUCUAAUAUAUUUUUUUAUACAAAAAAAUAAUAAUUUUUAGUUAUUGAAUAAGUUGUAGAAUCCGUCUCUAUGAGCUUAGCUCAAUUGGUAUAAUGAACAUUUCAUUAUAUAUACGUGGAUCUGGGUUCGAACCCCACACAUCUUACUCAUUCGUUAACUUAAUUUCAUAUAACAAUUUCGUUCUUUAUCUUUUUUACGUCAUUUUUUUUUUUGUCAGUUUACAUGAGUUUUCAAACAUCAAAUGUAAAAUUCAUAUGAAAACAUGAACGAAUGAUCGUAUAUUUGAGCACAAAGAGCUCAAAUUGAAAUAUAUAAAACAGCAGAUUUGAAUCUUGAAAAUUCAUAUACAAAUUGAUCAAAAUGACGUGAAAAAAAAUAUGUAUAUGGUAAAAUUAUUAACUGAAAUUAAGUUAAAAGAGUUGAAUAAUUUUGUCACAAAUUUUUUUUUUCAAGUCUUCGGAGACUAAGCCAAAAUGGAUGAUUAUCAAAUUGGCGCAGUAGUAAAUUGCAAAGUGCAAAACAGGGCACCCCACAAAUGAGUACGAUAAAAAAAAAAAAAAAAAAAAAAUCAGGAUAUCUUCUGUGAUCGAGAAAAGGUUCUUACAAGUGAAGGAGGCUUCCACCCUUGCCACACCUAUACUUGAGGUUCAACUGCGUGAACUCAAAGACAUAGUCAGAAUUUAAGUAGUUCCAAACUCCCUCUUCGUCAACCUAAAUUUUAAAAGUUAUACUAAUCUUCUCAACAACAAAAAAAAUCCUCACUCCACAAUCAAGCAUACAUAUGCAAUAUCACUUACAAACUAUCAACGAUUAAUAAAGAGAAUUGAUAAACCUUUUAGGUCCUGCUACGUUUAGGAUUGAAAAAGAUGCAAAAUCUAAAUGACAUUACCGGUCAAAUCAAGUGCUGUUAACCAAUUACGAUCUCCGAAUUGACAUAUGCAAUUUAGAAAUUAAAUCAGAAUAUCCAUACAAAGUUUGUAAGUAAAUUGAAAGAACAUAGCAUAAAUUAAUGAUUGAAAACAACUAUAAUCUAUGAUCAAAGCACAUAUAUAGUUUUAUAAAAUGAUUUAGCAAGAUUCUCAAAAAUUGGGUGGCUCGGUAGACUCCUCUAAGUUCUAACACAAAUCGCAUCAUAUUUUCAAACAGCAAUCGAAGUCAAAAGAAAAUAUACAUAUGACAAGCCACAUGGUCAUGUCACACUUGGUUAUGACAUCGGGAAGGCAUAAAUGUCGUAUUGUACUCCCAUACCAGUCACCAUAAAGUAUAACCAGAUACGAAAAAAUAUGGUGAAGGUAAAUAUUACAGUACUCUGUCUGGACAAGUUGCACUUGGCUAAAGAAUAGUCCAUUCCAAAAUCAUGCAUCUCAUUCAAGCAAUGUUCUUCAGAAUAUAAAUUAAUCAUAAAUACAAAGAGAUUAUUCCAAAAUCACUCAUCUGUAGCUUCAUUAGAUGAGGUUGAGCAGCUCCCCCGAGAUAGGUUUUCUUCCCGGAGUGUCACGACAGAGCUAAAAUUAUCUAGUAAGCAUUCUUCAUACAUAACCAUGAGCUUCUUAGCUACCUAUUUAAAUCAUGAAUAAGUGGACAUUGUUAGCAUUCUUCAUACAUAAAAUAGAAAUCAUGAAUUUAAGAAAAUAGAAGAACCAAAAAUAAAACGAAGCCAAAAAUUCAUAAUAGGAAUAAGAGAUAAUUCUAAAGCAAUAUAAAAAAUGGAAAAAUGACAUAUACCUCUUGAGUGGUGGCAAAGGCAUUUUUAGCAAGAAUAGGGAGAGGAUACAGUUCGUUCCUGAUUAUCCAUUCUAUGUAAUCAAAAGAAACCGGCUCUUUUUCCAACAAAAAAAGGAAGAAGGAUAAAAUUAGAAUAGAUAAAAAAAAAAAAAAAAAAUCAAUUAAGUGAUUAAUUUAAUGUGCUUACUUAUGGUUUGAGUGAACCAAAAGAGGAUGUCUUCAGCAAGUUGUUGAAGCAUUAGGGAGGGAUUAGAGCCACAUUUGUUGUGAAUGAAGACAUGACGCACCCACAAAUCCUCCAUAAGCAAACCAACCCCUUCUUCAAAAACUCUGAUUGAGUUAGUAAGAUUAGAACAAUCAAUCUCGGAUGAAGAAUUAGCCUUCAAAUUAAAUAUACAAAAACUGUUAUUAUGAGGAAAGGAAAGGAAAGGGGGACACAGUAAUAACCAGGUAAGUUAAGGUCGAUUAUAUGUUACCUGGAUUAGAGAACAACUAACGUUGGCUUCCUGGAUGAUAUCACCAGAGGGAGUUGUUUCCAUUCCAUACUUUUUGAGGUAAGUUUCCAUUCCAAACUUAGUUACCUCUUCCUCAAAUGUCUCAAGGUAGGAGGGGGGAAUAUCACCAAGGCGAAUACUGAGAAGAAUAGAAUUCUUGAAUCUCUCUUUAAAAGAGGUGGAUUGGCUUAAAUCCUUAAGGUAGUCCUGCCAUAAACAAUCUUGCAGGUAAAGUAUGGUCUUCUUCUUUUUCUGAAUAGAGGGUAGGCUAUCUAUUUGAAACUUAUUUACUCGUUUCCGAUGAGCAUCGGCUUCCUUGAGAAUCUGAACAGAGCUAAAAUCAUGUUGUAAGCAUUCUUGGUACAUAGAGACUAGUUGAUCACACACCUACAAAAUAAGAGUAAAGAUUGAUUGCAAACACGGACGGUAAAAAAAAAAAAAUGAUUAUUGAAUCAAUAAAAAUAAGGGCACACACCUCUAGAAUGCUGUUAUCCUCAGGAGGAACAUUACUAAGGAAAGAAAUAAGUUGAAAUUUGAGUUGAAGUUUAAUAGUUGCUGAAGGCAGGUGUUUGGAUCGAAUGAAACGAGAAAAUAUGGUGUCACAAAGCCAUUCAACACAUCGCUCGGGGGACGACUCAUAGUCACAGAGGCUUUUGCGCCUAAUUUUCAAUCGAAUAACCCACCAAAAGUUGAUAGCCAAACUAAUCCCUUCCCUAAAUACUUUCAUUGAAUCCUCUUCUAAAUCCAUCUGAGAAUUAACAAUAGAAAAAAACACAUAAUUAAAAAGUAUAUUAAUAUUCUAUGCAUCGAUAUGAAAACAAACUUCAACGAUAGACAAGAACGAAAGCAAAGGGGUAUAUUACCUUAACUUCCAAAACAACGGAAUUGUCCAUAGCUGAUUAGAUGAAUGGGAACAAAUGAAUGAAUCGCGCACUCGAUUGGAACGAGAACGAUAACGAAAACGAGAAGCAGUUUAUCCCUAGGGUUUCCAGUUCUGCUUUUGCUACGGAUUCAUGGAUUUAUAUUUAGUUAGUAGUGUGCGGUUUGGUUCGUUUUGAGGUUAAAAGUCAUCUGAACGAUAAAAAACAUGCGGUUUGGUUUGGUUUUGUUGAUUUUUAAAAUUAAAUUCGAACCAAACCAAACCAAAUUAAUGUUGUUUGGAUUGGAUGUUCAGUGCAAUUUUUUUCAAGACAAUACAAUUAUUUGUUUCCAACAUUAAAAUCAAGUUAUUAAAAACCUAAAAAACAACAUGUUUCGAGUAAUGUUUCCCACAAUGUUUUAAAUUUUAUCCAACAAUGUUUUCAACUACAUAGACCAAAUUAAAAACAUGCACAAAAAAUAAUUCUAUUUUGUAACAAAUGCAAAAGAGUAUGAUUUUAUCAUUCUAUAAAAUUUUAAAUACAUUUUUGAAAUAAAAAGAAAAGAAGAAACUUUUUUUUUUUAAUCGGCAAAUAUUAUUAAACGCCAUCCCCGCAAUACGCAAGGUAUGGACGAAGCAAGAUACAAAUGGUUCUGUAUAUAGACGGUACACCAUAACCACCUAAAAACACCCCUGGAAAUAAACCCACCAAAACACAUCACCACCUAAACCUAAAACAGACUCCUUCAAAAAAAAAAAAAGCACUGUAAACACGGUGUCCAGAAGGUAAUAUAUUUUUUUCUACUUUUUCGAUGUUGUUUUAUGUUGUGGUGGUGGUGGUGAGGCGUGGGAGUGGUGGUGUUUCGGUUGAGGGAAGAGAAGGGUGUUUGUUGGGGGUGAUUUCCUUUGAAGGCAACCUCUGUUACUCGGGUCUAUGUUCGUCGUCACUAGCUCCUGUUUUGUGCUUUUUUGGGUGGUUUAGGUAUUUAGGGUGUUUGGAGGGAGCGGGUCCCGUUGUGUCGAGCCUUUUCCUUUCGAUAGGUUGGUUGUUUAAACUUUGCAUGCCAUGUCAUUCGUAUUACAUAUUGUGUGUUGGUUUCCGGUGGGCCGAUUACUUUUGCUUCGAGAUCGGUAGUCCGGGUCUAGUUGUAAUCUUUGUUUAGCUUGAUUUGGUUUUCUCUGGUGUACCGGGGGCGAGGGGUGCCCUGUUAAUUUGGUACUAAAGUCUGGUGAGACGAUCACUUUUGAUUCGAGAUCGGGAGUCAGUUCUUUGUCUCAAGUUCGUUUGUGGGCAUUUGUUUUGUGCUCUUUCGGUGGAUCGGAGGUCGCGAGGUUGUGAAAGCUACAUGAUCCUUCGGUCAGGUGCUCUUCGAAUUGUGGCUCAGCUUGGUUGUUGAGGUCUGAGAGUUUUCUUUUGAGGGUGUUCUUUGGGGGUGAGUAGAAAAGAAGAAACUUAACAAGAGAAAAAACAUGUCAUUUUAUAAAAGUUCACAUUGAGUUUCUAUGAAUUUUAGUAUAGAUGACAUAUGUUUAAAUUUAAUUAGUAUUUUUUUUUUUUAUGUUGCGGUUUGGUUUGGUUCGGUUGAGAAAAUAAAAACCACAAACCAAAUCAUGCGGUUAAGUAAAAAUAUGAUCUGAAUACAUCUGAAUCAAAUACGGUAUUUUGCUGUUUUGAUUUGUGUUGUUUCGGUUUACGGUUUAUCUAUUGGUUUGGUUUAGUUGUGAGCACCCCUGUUUACUAGUGUGUUAAUCUAUGCAUGCAUAUUCAAUCUCAGAUUUUUUAUUUUCUUAUUUAUCAAUGAACUUUUUUUUUUUGAAAUAUCAUCAAUGAUUAUUUAAAUAUGUCUGUAAUUAUUAUUUUUUUACUGCAAUGAUGACAAAUAUGUGUCCCAUAUUUUUUAUUUUUGUUAGUGGUAAAUAUAUGUCUCAUGUUCAUUAUGUAUCAAUCACAAAUUUGUCCCUUGUUUUUUCUUCUAGAUUUACCAAUGACAAUAUUUCUCCCGUAUUUUUUAUGAAUUAAUGACUAAUAUUAACAUUGUUUUUUUUUAUUAGUGAAAAAUAUUUAACUCGUAACUUUAUAUGUAUCGAUAAUAAAUAUUUCUCCUAUUUACUUUUUAUAUAUGUAUAAUAACAACAAAUAUAUGUAUGUGACUGUUUAAAAUAUAUAUAUAUAGUUAUGAACCUCAACAAUGAACAAUCCCUCUCCACAUCCUAUACUUACAUUACAUUCAUUAAUCAUUAUAACUACACCGCUAGGUAGACUUUCAAUAUAAUAGCCUCAAUAUAUUGGGAUCAAAUUACAAUAAUAUUAUAAAUCAAUCAUCAUAUAUAAUUUAUUGAAGAAGAAAAAAUCAAACAAAUAUGGCAAUAUAUUGCUGCCAAGUUGCCAAUGCAAACUCUUAUUUGAAUAACAUGACAAAGAUUGAGAAGUGAUGAUGUCUCUUAAGCAAAAAUGGUUGCCAUGGCCACUAUGGCUACCAUGACAACUCCAAACAUAGAUGAUACAAUAGAGUGAGCAUUAGAAGAUGGAGGAGGGGAAGGAGCAGGUGCGCCUUCUGCUAGAACAGUGAUGACAAAUUUCAUUUGAUGAGCAGAACAAUGAUCAGCUACGCCACAAACAUACCACUUUCUUCCUUCUGUUUUUAGUUGAAUGAUAUCCUUUCCCGUAGAGAGUGCUUCAUUUUUUGGUGGAAAAGUGCAGUCCUUAAAAAGUGU